rnacentral:rRNA from 1 species
CCAAUAGCGUAUAUUAAAGUUGUUGCAGUUAAAAAGCUCGUAGUUGAAUUUCGGGAUCAGUAGGUCGGUCGUGCCACAGGUAUGCACUGAUCUCACUGGUUCCUCCUUCCUGAUGAACCGUAAUGCCAUUAAUUUGGUGUUGCGGGGAAACUGGACUGUUACUUUGAAAAAAUUAGAGUGUUUAAAGCAGGCUAACGCUUGAAUACAUUAGCAUGGAAUAAUGAAAUAGGACGUUCGAUCCUAUUUUGUUGGUUUCUAGGAUUGACGUAAUGAUUAAUAGGGAUAGUUGGGGGCAUUAGUAUUCAAUUGUCAGAGGUGAAAUUCUUGGAUUUAUUGAAGACUAACUACUGCGAAAGCAUUUGCCCAAGGAUGUUUUCAUUAAUCAAGAACGAAAGUUAGGGGAUCGAAGACGAUCAGAUACCGUCGUAGUCUUAACCAUAAACUAUGCCGACUAGGGAUCGGAUGAUGUUAAUUUUUUAAUGACUCAUUCGGCGCCUUACG